UAGGGAAUCUUCGGCAAUGGACGAAAGUCUGACCGAGCAACGCCGCGUGAGUGAAGAAGGUUUUCGGAUCGUAAAACUCUGUUGUUAGAGAAGAACAAGGACGUUAGUAACUGAACGUCCCCUGACGGUAUCUAACCAGAAAGCCACGGCUAACUACGUGCCAGCAGCCGCGGUAAUACGUAGGUGGCAAGCGUUGUCCGGACUUAUUGGGCGUAAAGCGAGCGCAGGCGGGUUCUUAAGUCUGAUGUGAAAGCCCCCGGCUCAACCGGGGAGGGUCAUUGGAAACUGGGAGACUUGAGUGCAGAAGAGGAGAGUGGAAUUCCAUGUGUAGCGGUGAAAUGCGUAGAUAUAUGGAGGAACACCAGUGGCGAAGGCGGCUCUCUGGUCUGUAACUGACGCUGAGGCUCGAAAGCGUGGGGAGCAAACAGG
rnacentral:rRNA from 1 species